CAGGCUAUGCUUGUGGGUCGUGAGAUUAACAGUAGUGUAAAGCAAUCGUAAAGAGCAGUCGUCGUGGGCAGGAGAAUUCAUUUGAACACAUCCGUCUGUCCAUUCUUCGGAACAGUGUGAGGAAAAACGAAAAACUAACACGUCCUUUCAGCGAGAAGACCACAGCGGACAUCAUACCAACCGAUCACUGGCUGAGGUCAUGUGGAAAGACUGGAGAUCUACAGCAGCAUUGCAGUCCAGCCAGAUGAUCAACCAGUAGCUGCUCGCAUCUCAGCCUGCUUGAUGGAAAUUUCCGACUUUCACCUGGAUGACCUUUACCUUCAACUUCACCUUGCCAAGACAGAAGUUCUUGUGGUUUCAGCCACCCAUCCUUUGUGUUAUAAUCAAUCAGUUAAAC